rnacentral:rRNA from 1 species
AACAGCCGCGGUAAUUCCAGCUCCAAUAGCGUAAAUUAAAGUUGUUGCAGUUAAAAAGCUCGUAGUUGAAUUUCGGGGUUCUACCGUCGGUCGGGCUAACAAGUCUGUACUGGUGUGUAGAAUUUCUACCUUCUGGGGAACUAUCAUGUUAUUAAUUUAGCGUGGUGGGAAACCAGGACCUUUACCUUGAAAAAAUUAGAGUGUUCAAAGCAGGCUUACGUCUGAAUACAUUAGCAUGGAAUAAUAGAAUAGGACGGUGGUCCUGUUUUGUUGGUUUCUGAAUCACCGUAAUGAUUAAUAGGGAUAGUUGGGGGCAUUAGUAUUCAAUUGUCAGAGGUGAAAUUCUUGGAUUUAUUGAAGACUAACUUCUGCGAAAGCAUUUGCCAAGGAUGUUUUCAUUAAUCAAGAACGAAAGUUAGGGGAUCGAAGACGAUCAGAUACCGUCGUAGUCUUAACCAUAAACUAUGCCGACUAGGGAUCGGACGAUGUUAAUUUUUUAAUGACUCG